UACGGGGGGGGCAAGCGUUGUUCGGAAUUACUGGGCGUAAAGGGCGCGUAGGCGGUCAGAUAAGUCAGCUGUGAAAACCUCGGGCUUAACCCGAGGCCUGCAGUUGAAACUGUUUGGCUGGAGUGUGGGAGAGGAGAGUGGAAUUCCCGGUGUAGCGGUGAAAUGCGUAGAUAUCUGGAGGAACACCGGUGGCGAAGGCGGCAUCCUGGACCAACACUGACGCUGAGUGAGCGAAAGCCAGGGGAGCAAACGGG
rnacentral:rRNA from 1 species